UACAGAGGUCUCAAGCGUUGUUCGGAUUCAUUGGGCGUAAAGGGCGCGUAGGUGGCGGGGCAAGUCAGGUGUGAAAUCUCGGGGCUCAACCCCGAAACUGCACUUGAUACUGCCUUGCUUGAGUACUGGAGAGGAGAUUGGAAUUUACGGUGUAGCAGUGAAAUGCGUAGAUAUCGUAAGGAAGACCAGUGGCGAAGGCGAAUCUCUGGACAGUUACUGACACUGAGGCACGAAGGCCAGGGGAGCAAACGGG
rnacentral:rRNA from 1 species